GCUCUUUGCUUGCGCAACAACUGUUGACCCCUCAUCCAUUUCAUUUCUGCCCCCUGAGCCGGAUUGCUCGUGUUGGGCAUGACCCUCGGUUCUUGCAUUGGCUACCCAUUGUGGAAAGCCUCGUUAGUUGCCCCUUUCGUCGUUGUUGCUUUUUCGGUUACGAGGUGGACCUUGAAGCAGUUCUCGUGUUUCGGACGAAGCUCAUGACAUUUGUCAUGGCCGUGCUGGCCCACGGGUCUUCUGCUAGUGCUCUCGGAUGUGGAAGACUUUGCGGAUGAUGGGGGCUUUGCCCUCUGGUUGCUCCGAUUCGAGUCCCUUAACGAAGAAUGACUCUCGCAACCACGUUGACCAUGUGCCCAUAGGGUCGGUGGUGACAAUGUUGUCGAGAAGUCGAGAAUGAAUGCUACCUGGUUGAUCCUGCCAGUAGUCAUAUGCUUGUCUCAAAGAUUAAGCCAUGCAUGUGUAAGUA
rnacentral:misc_RNA from 1 species